rnacentral:rRNA from 1 species
ACGAACGCUGGCGGCAUGCCUAACACAUGCAAGUCGAACGAGACCUUCGGGUCUAGUGGCGCACGGGUGCGUAACGCGUGGGAACCUGCCCUUAGGUUCGGAAUAACUCCCCGAAAGGGGUGCUAAUACCGGAUAAUGUCUUCGGACCAAAGAUUUAUCGCCUUUGGAUGGGCCCGCGUUGGAUUAGCUAGUUGGUAGGGUAAAAGCCUACCAAGGCGACGAUCCAUAGCUGGUCUGAGAGGAUGAUCAGCCACACUGGGACUGAGACACGGCCCAGACUCCUACGGGAGGCAGCAGUGGGGAAUAUUGGACAAUGGGCGAAAGCCUGAUCCAACAAUGCCGCGUGAGUGAUGAAGGCCUUAGGGUUGUAAAGCUCUUUUACCCGGGAUGAUAAUGACAGUACCGGGAGAAUAAGCUCCGGCUAACUCCGUG